CUCAGAUUGAACGCUGGCGGCAGGCCUAACACAUGCAAGUCGAGCGGUAGCACAGAGAGCUUGCUCUCGGGUGACGAGCGGCGGACGGGUGAGUAAUGUCUGGGAAACUGCCUGAUGGAGGGGGAUAACUACUGGAAACGGUAGCUAAUACCGCAUAAUGUCGCAAGACCAAAGUGGGGGACCUUCGGGCCUCAUGCCAUCAGAUGUGCCCAGAUGGGAUUAGCUAGUAGGUGGGGUAACGGCUCACCUAGGCGACGAUCCCUAGCUGGUCUGAGAGGAUGACCAGCCACACUGGAACUGAGACACGGUCCAGACUCCUACGGGAGGCAGCAGUGGGGAAUAUUGCACAAUGGGCGCAAGCCUGAUGCAGCCAUGCCGCGUGUGUGAAGAAGGCCUUCGGGUUGUAAAGCACUUUCAGCGGGGAGGAAGGCGAUAAGGUUAAUAACCUUGUCGAUUGACGUUACCCGCAGAAGAAGCACCGGCUAACUCCGUGCCAGCAGCCGCGGUAAUACGGAGGGUGCAAGCGUUAAUCGGAAUUACUGGGCGUAAAGCGCACGCAGGCGGUCUGUCAAGUCGGAUGUGAAAUCCCCGGGCUCAACCUGGGAACUGCAUUCGAAACUGGCAGGCUAGAGUCUUGUAGAGGGGGGUAGAAUUCCAGGUGUAGCGGUGAAAUGCGUAGAGAUCUGGAGGAAUACCGGUGGCGAAGGCGGCCCCCUGGACAAAGACUGACGCUCAGGUGCGAAAGCGUGGGGAGCAAACAGGAUUAGAUACCCUGGUAGUCCACGCCGUAAACGAUGUCGAUUUGGAGGUUGUGCCCUUGAGGCGUGGCUUCCGGAGCUAACGCGUUAAAUCGACCGCCUGGGGAGUACGGCCGCAAGGUUAAAACUCAAAUGAAUUGACGGGGGCCCGCACAAGCGGUGGAGCAUGUGGUUUAAUUCGAUGCAACGCGAAGAACCUUACCUGGUCUUGACAUCCACAGAACUUAGCAGAGAUGCUUUGGUGCCUUCGGGAACUGUGAGACAGGUGCUGCAUGGCUGUCGUCAGCUCGUGUUGUGAAAUGUUGGGUUAAGUCCCGCAACGAGCGCAACCCUUAUCCUUUGUUGCCAGCGGUCCGGCCGGGAACUCAAAGGAGACUGCCAGUGAUAAACUGGAGGAAGGUGGGGAUGACGUCAAGUCAUCAUGGCCCUUACGACCAGGGCUACACACGUGCUACAAUGGCAUAUACAAAGAGAAGCGACCUCGCGAGAGCAAGCGGACCUCAUAAAGUAUGUCGUAGUCCGGAUUGGAGUCUGCAACUCGACUCCAUGAAGUCGGAAUCGCUAGUAAUCGUAGAUCAGA
rnacentral:rRNA from 1 species